UACGUAGGGUGCGAGCGUUGUCCGGAAUUACUGGGCGUAAAGAGCUCGUAGGUGGUUUGUCGCGUUGUCCGUGAAAACUCACAACUCAAUUGUGGGCGUGCGGGCGAUACGGGCAGACUGGAGUACUGCAGGGGAGACUGGAAUUCCUGGUGUAGCGGUGGAAUGCGCAGAUAUCAGGAGGAACACCGGUGGCGAAGGCGGUUCUCUGGGCAUGAUCUGACGCUGAGGAGCGAAAGUGUGGGGAGCGAACAGG
rnacentral:rRNA from 1 species